UCAAGUCAGCAUGGCCUUUAUAUCCUGGGCUACACACACGCUACAAUGGCCAACACAAUAGGUUGCUAAGCCGCGAGGUGGCGCCAAUCCAUAAAGUUGGUCUCAGUUCAGAUUGUAGGCUGCAACCCGCCUGCAUGAAGAUGGAGUUGCUAGUAACCGCAGGUCAGCUAUACUGGCGGUGAAUUACCGUUCCCGGGCUU
rnacentral:rRNA from 1 species